rnacentral:rRNA from 1 species
ACGUCGUGAGACAGUUCGGUCCCUAUCUGCCGUGGGCGCUGGAGAACUGAGGGGGGCUGCUCCUAGUACGAGAGGACCGGAGUGGACGCAUCACUGGUGUUCGGGUUGUCAUGCCAAUGGCACUGCCCGGUAGCUAAAUGCGGAAGAGAUAAGUGCUGAAAGCAUCUAAGCACGAAACUUGCCCCGAGAUGAGUUCUCCCUGACUCCUUGAGAGUCCUGAAGGAACGUUGAAGACGACGACGUUGAUAGGCCGGGUGUGUAAGCGCAGCGAUGCGUUGAGCUAACCGGUACUAAUGAACCGUGAGGCUUAACCUU